AAUUUGCCAAUUGACAUGGACUUGAAAUUGUCAUUGCAAGUUUGUAAUCGUGUCGUUCAAUGAUGAUAAGACAUUAUGUUUGUGGAUGUGGUAUUUGUGUUGCUUAACCUGAUUUGUGCUAUGUUUGCUGUCAAAAUCAGUUGUUUUGAUGUCCAAAAAACAACAGCUAAAUACACUUUGCAUACAACAGAUGCCUAAACUGAUGACUAGUCUGUUGCAUGUUCUAGCAUACACUUUGCCUAAACUGAUGCCUAAACUGAUGACUAGUCUGUUGCAUGUUCUAGCAUACACUUUGCUCCUUCUCUGAAUAAUAGGACCGGCACAUGCAUAUGUCCACGUACAGUCAGUAGCUCAGCUAGUUUCGCUCAAGACCAGGUCAUGGGAUGGAUCCUGCGAUCGGCAGCUACCUGCAACUGCAUAAACAACAGCUAAAUAUGACGUAUACGCAGCAAAAUACAGUCUGCCAGGCAAGGUGACUGGCCGGUCCAUUCGGUCCUCUCGGGCUUGACCGAGCUGACCCCCAAACGGUCCGGUCCCAGAAAAGGAGCUCGUUGGAGAGCUCAGUCCGGUCCGGACCGGACCGCCGGCGGCCGGUCCAAGUGGCGGCUCGGACCGGGACCGGACCGGCCCGGACCGUGUCCACCCUGAG
rnacentral:lncRNA from 1 species